AGUGAACGCUGGCGGUAGGCCUAACACAUGCAAGUCGAACGGCAGCACAGUAAGAGCUUGCUCUUACGGGUGGCGAGUGGCGGACGGGUGAGGAAUACAUCGGAAUCUACUUUUUCGUGGGGGAUAACGUAGGGAAACUUACGCUAAUACCGCAUACGACCUACGGGUGAAAGCAGGGGAUCUUCGGACCUUGCGCGAUUGAAUGAGCCGAUGUCUGAUUAGCUAGUUGGCGGGGUAAAGGCCCACCAAGGGGACGAUCCGUAGCUGGUCUGAGAGGAUGGUCAGCCACACUGGAACGGAGACACGGUCCAGAGGCCUACGGGAGGCAGCAGUGGGGAAUAUUGGACAAUGGGCGCAAGCCUGAUCCAGCCAUACCGCGUGGGUGAAGAAGGCCUUCGGGUUGUAAAGCCCUUUUGUUGGGAAAGAAAAGCAGCAGGUUAAUACCCCGCUGUUCUGACGGUACCCAAAGAAUAAGCACCGGCUAACUUCGUG
rnacentral:rRNA from 1 species